GUAUUGCAACAUGAAUACAUAGUGUUGCAAGGCGAACGAGGGGAAGUGAAACAUCUCAGUACCCUUAGGAAAAGAAAUCAAUUGAGAUUCCCUCAGUAGCGGCGAGCGAACGGGGAUCAGCCCAUUAAGUUAUGUGUGUUUUAGUGGAACGCUCUGGGAAGUGCGAACGUAGAGGGUGAUAUUCCCGUACACGAAAGGGCACACAUAAUGAUGACGAGUAGGGCGAGGCACGUGAAACCUUGUCUGAAUAUGGGGGGACCAUCCUCCAAGGCUAAAUACUCCUGACUGACCGAUAGUGAACCAGUACCGUGAGGGAAAGGCGAAAAGAACCCCUGUGAGGGGAGUGAAAUAGAUCCUGAAACCGCAUGCAUACAAGCAGUGGGAGCACCUUCGUGGUGUGACUGCGUACCUUUUGUAUAAUGGGUCAGCGACUUAUAUUCAGUAGCAAGGUUAACCGUGUAGGGGAGCCGUAGAGAAAUCGAGUCUUAAUAGGGCGUUUAGUUGCUGGGUAUAGACCCGAAACCAGGCGAUCUAUCCAUGAGCAGGUUGAAGGUUGGGUAACACUAACUGGAGGACCGAACCCACUGUCGUUGAAAAGCCAGGGGAUGACUUGUGGAUAGGGGUGAAAGGCUAAUCAAGCCUGGUGAUAGCUGGUUCUCCCCGAAAGCUAUUUAGGUAGCGCCUCGGACGAAUACCAUAGGGGGUAGAGCACUGUUUCGGCUAGGGGGUCAUCCCGACUUACCAAACCGAUGCAAACUCCGAAUACCUAUGAGUACUAUCCGGGAGACAGACUGCGGGUGCUAACGUCCGUAGUCAAGAGGAAAACAAUCCAGACCGCCAGCUAAGGCCCCAAAAUCAUAGUUAAGUGGGAAACGAUGUGGGAAGGCAUAGACAGCUAGGAGGUUGGCUUAGAAGCAGCCACCCUUUAAAGAAAGCGUAAUAGCUCACUAGUCGAGUCGGCCUGCGCGGAAGAUGUAACGGGGCUAAAACUAUGUGCCGAAGCUGCGGAUGUAUACUUUGUAUACGUGGUAGGGGAGCGUUCUGUAAGCCGAUGAAGGUGU
rnacentral:rRNA from 1 species